rnacentral:rRNA from 1 species
GACGAACGCUGGCGGCGUGCUUAACACAUGCAAGUCGAACGGUGAAGGGACCAGCUUGCUGGUUCUGGAUGAGUGGCGAACGGGUGAGUAACACGUGAGUAACCUGCCCCCUUCUUCUGGAUAACCGCAUGAAAGUGUGGCUAAUACGGGAUAUUCUGGGUCUGUCGCAUGACGGGCCCGGGAAAGAUAUUGUUUCGGUGGGGGAUGGGCUCGCGGCCUAGCAGCUUGUUGGGGGGGUGAUGGCCUACCAAGGCGGUGACGGGUAGCCGGCCUGAGAGGGUGGACGGUCACACUGGGACUGAGACACGGCCCAGACUCCUACGGGAGGCAGCAGUGGGGAAUAUUGCACAAUGGGCGCAAGCCUGAUGCAGCGACGCCGCGUGAGGGAUGGAGGCCUUCGGGUUGUAAACCUCUUUCGCCAGUGAAGCAGGCCUGCUCCUUGUGGGUGGGUUGACGGUAGCUGGAUAAGAAGCGCCGGCUAACUACGUGCCAGCCGCCGCAGUAAUAC